GACGAACGCUGGCGGCGUGCUUAACACAUGCAAGUCGAACGGACAGGCCCUGCUUUUGUGGGGUGCUCGAGUGGCGAACGGGGGAGUAACACGUGAGUAACCUGCCCCUGUCUUUGGGAUAACUUCAGGAAACUGGGGCUAAUACCGGAUAGGAGCUCCUGCUGCGUGGUGGGGGUUGGAAAGUUUCGGCGGUUGGGGAUGUACUCGCGGCUUAUCAGCUUGUUGGUGGGGUAGUGGCUUACCAAGGCUUUGACGGGUAGCCGGCCUGAGAGGGUGACCGGCCACCUUGGGACUGAGAUACGCCCCAGACUCCUACGGGAGGCAGCAGUGGGGAAUAUUGCACAACGGGCGGAAGCCUGAUGCAGAAACGCCGCGUGCGGGAUGCCGGCCUUCGGGUUGUAAACCGCUUUCGCCUGUGACGAAGCGUGAGUGACGGUAAUGGGUAAAGAAGCACCGGCUAACUACGUG
rnacentral:rRNA from 1 species